rnacentral:tRNA from 1 species
GGCCCGUUGGUCAAGCGGUUAAGACACGGCCCUCUCACGGCUGAAACUGGGGUUCGAUUCCCCAACGGGUCA